rnacentral:rRNA from 1 species
AGCGAACGCUGGCGGCAGGCCUAACACAUGCAAGUCGAACGAAGUCUUCGGACUUAGUGGCGGACGGGUGAGUAACACGUGGGAACGUACCUUUUGGUUCGGAACAACUCAGGGAAACUUGAGCUAAUACCGGAUGAGCCCUUAGGGGGAAAGAUUUAUCGCCGAAAGAGCGGCCCGCGUUAGAUUAGCUGGUUGGUGAGGUAAAGGCUCACCAAGGCUACGAUCUAUAGCUGGUCUGAGAGGAUGAUCAGCCACACUGGGACUGAGACACGGCCCAGACUCCUACGGGAGGCAGCAGUGGGGAAUCUUGCGCAAUGGGCGAAAGCCUGACGCAGCCAUGCCGCGUGAAUGAUGAAGGUCUUAGGAUUGUAAAAUUCUUUUACCAGGGACGAUAAUGACGGUACCUGGAGAAAAAGCCCCGGCUAACUUCGUGCCAGCCGCCGCGGUAAAAC